AUUGAACGCUGGCGGCGUGCUUAACACAUGCAAGUCGAUCGGUAACAGGUGUAGCAAUACAUGCUGACGAGAGGCGGACGGGUGAGGAACGCUUGGGAAUCUGCCUAUCAGCGGGGGACAACCCGGGGAAACUCGGGCUAAUACCGCAUACGCUCUACGGAGGAAAGCCGGGGACCGCAAGGCCUGGCACUGAUAGAUGAGCCCAAGUCGGAUUAGCUAGUUGGCGGGGUAACGGCCCACCAAGGCGACGAUCCGUAGCUGGUCUGAGAGGACGAUCAGCCACACCGGAACUGAGACACGGUACGGACUCCUACGGGAGGCAGCAGGGGGGAAUAUUGGACAAUGGGGGAAACCCUGAUCCAGCGACGCCGCGUGGGUGAAGAAGGCCUGCGGGUUGUAAAGCCCUUUCGGUAGGGAAGAAAUCUCUUGCUCUAACAAAGCAGGAGUUUGACUUAACCUACAUAAGGAGCACCGGCUAACUCUGUGCCAGCAGCCGCGGUAAUAC
rnacentral:rRNA from 1 species